AGCUGUGGAUGGACACGUAGGACCCCUUCACCUCCUUCUUCAAGGUCUGGGUGGCCUCUGGGACCCCCUGGGGCUCCUCGUCCUCCUCGUAGUCCAGCAGCUCAUUGUCGUUCUCAGCCAUGGUGUCCUGUGAGGAGGUUUGAAGUUGAUCCGAAAGAACCGAACAGUCAGAUCGGCUUUUUAGGAUAACUAGAGACAAAAUGUCUUACCUUAAAGAUGGUACGUAUUGAACACGCAAGAAUCAACACCGCAUGGGCAGGCCUCAACAC